GGUCCCAAGGGUUCGGCUGUUCGCCGAUUAAAGUGGCACGCGAGCUGGGUUCAGAACGUCGUGAGACAGUUCGGUCCCUAUCUGUGAUGGGCGUAGGAAGUUUGACGGGGGCUGACCUUAGUACGAGAGGACCGGGUUGGGCUCACCGCUGGUGAAUCGGUUGUCACGCCAGUGGCACGGCCGAGUAGCUACGUGGGUAAGGGAUAAGCGCUGAAAGCAUCUAAGUGCGAAACCUGCCUGAAGAUGAGACUUCCAUGAGGGACGUUAGAGACGAUGACGUUGAUAGGCUGCAGGUGUAAAGGUGGUGACACCAAAGCCGAGCAGUACUAAUGGCCCGAAACCUUCUUCAA
rnacentral:rRNA from 1 species